rnacentral:rRNA from 1 species
AUUGAACGCUGGCGGAAUGCUUUACACAUGCAAGUCGAACGGCAGCACGGACUUCGGUCUGGUGGCGAGUGGCGAACGGGUGAGUAAUGUAUCGGAACGUGCACAGUAGUGGGGGAUAACGUAGUGAAAAUUACGCUAAUACCGCAUACGAUCUAUGGAUGAGAGCGGGGGAUCGCAAUACCUCGCGCGAUUGGAGCUGCCGAUAUCAGAUUAGGUAGUUGGUGGGGUAAAGGCCCACCAAGCCAACGAUCUGUAGCUGGACUGAGCGGACGACCAGCCACACUGGAACUGAGACACGGUCCAGACUCCUACGGGAGGCAGCAGUGGGGAAUUUUGGACAAUGGGCGAAAGCCUGAUCCAGCCAUUCCGCGUGCAGGAUGAAGGCCCUCGGGUUGUAAACUGCUUUUGUACAGAACGAAAAGGUUUCUACUAAUACUAGGAGCUCAUGACGGUACUGUAAGAAUAAGCACCGGCUAACUACGUGCCAGCCGCCGCAGUAA